CUGACUUCCCUACCUCUCAAAUGGGGAUGCAGCACCUCCCUCCAUGUCACCAAUGAGUCACCAAGACAGGGAUUGGAAGGGGGAACUGUUCCCGCUGGGGGUUCUUUGGGACCUGGGAGUGUCGGGGGUGGGGCUAGGGGAUGGUCGGUCUAGGAGUCGCUCAACGUCGUCGCGUGCACCAGGCUCCAGGCCUUUUUCCAGACGCCUACCACAGCAUGGCUUGCCAAGCGGUGCCAUGUCCGCACCCGCAAUCCGAACCGGGGAACCCCGGGCCACCAAAGCAGAAUGUGCGCACCCAACCACUGCGCCACCGGGCCGGCCCCCAUGGCAGGCUUUUGAGCAGAGGAGUGACAUGGCAGAUCUGAGCACCACAGCCACAGAGUGAUGAUGGCCUGGAGGGCAGACUGGCGCAGGGAGACAGUGAGGAGGCGGCACAGGGUCCUGGUGAUGAUACAAGACCCUAGUCUGAAUUACAUCCGCGAAGACUCUUUUUCCGAACAAGGUCGCAGUCACAGGUUCCAGGCGGACCUGCCCUCUAGGGGCCACCAUGCACCAAGAUCCUAAACUCUGAUCCCAGCGCUCCAUGCCAGACAGAGAGUAUUUUCCCCUUUCCCGUCCUUGCUGAGUUCGCAGUCCCUCCAGUCCUGCCUUCUUCUAGCAGGGACGCGCCCUGUCUUGACCCUUCCGCCCCCAGGGCGCAGAAGUGGCCACCUCCCGGCUGGCUCAGUUUCCAGCGCCCUCACGGGCUGGGACCCGGCCGGACCUGCGGGGGGCGGGCGCCCCCGUGUGUCCGCCUCGGAGCGGAGCGGACGGAGGCUGCAGGCGGGUCCCUGCCCUGCGGACAAGUCGCGGCCGCCGACAGAGCGCCUGCUGCCCGCCUGCCCCGCCGUGCACAUCGGGCGCUGCGGGCCUCAGGAUGAAUGGGGUUAUUACCCCCACUUUUCAGACUGGGAGACCCCGGCUUGGAGACACUGUGACUUGCCAAGGUCACACAGCCUUCUACUCCGUCUGACUCGAACGCCGCGAAAACCAGACAGAAAUGGUGGUUCCAACAAGAAGGACCCAAAACUAAAACUAUGCAACUAUGUACCAGGGGGCUUUGGGGACGAAAAAGAAAAAUAAAAUCCUUAAAAGAAAGAAGAAAAAAGAAACGGUGGUUCAUAGUGAGAUUUCAUUCAAAAUACCGGUUUCCACUUCACCUCCAGUAGAUCGCAAAAAGAAACUGACCGCAUCAAGUGUGGGUGCAGCUGUGGGAUGCACGCACCACCGCGGGGGCUGUGAACUGGUACAAGCACGUGGCAAGACUGCUCAGCAGAGCUCCUGAGACUGAGCACACGCUAAGCCCAUGACCAAGCAAGCCCGCUGUCGGUAUGAACUCAAGAGAAAUGCUGUGCAUGUUCAUCAGAAGACGUGUGCAUGAAUGCUCGCAGCAGCAGUAUCUGUAACAGCCCCCAAACAGGAAUGACCCAAAUGCCCAUUAAACAGGAUAUUCACACAACGCAAUACCAUUCAGUAAUGAGAACGGACAGUGUGCAAAUACACGUGCCUGCAUGGAGGAAUCUCGCUGACGCGUGGUGAAUGAAAGAGACCGCAGAUAUGAAAGAACACAAAUGGGUGCAACCGAUCCAUGGCGACAGAGGACAGAGAGGAGUCGCCCCUGGAGGAGUCUUGACUGGGCCCUGGAAAUGCUGAGCAUCUUGGUCUGGGUGGUGCUCACCUGGGUGUAUACACAGGUAAACAACCAGUGAGCUCCCACUGAAGAUCUGUGCACCUUACUGUGUUUUAUACCCAAGUAUAAAAAUUUUAAAAGCUUUACAAAAAGCUUUGAGGCGUCAGGUCACCUCGACCCAGGACUUGGAGACUGAAUCUGCUAUGCACAGGCAGAGCAGGCUCCUUGGCUGGCACCUUGAUCCAGCCCCUGUCACCUGCUGUGGCAGAAGAAAUUUUCCAAAAACAUCUGGCACAGUGUUUCCCACUCGACACGUGUUCUGAAACUUCGCUACUCCUCCAACAAGAGGUACAGUCUAUGCCCUGCCCCCCCAUCCCCUCCUGACUCCACCCCCAGCCUGGGCGAGCUUUGACUGCUUUGACCAAUAGAGCAUGACAGAAAUGACACUGGCUGACUUCCAGGGCCAGGUCAUGAAGAGCAGUGGCUUCCUCUGUCUCUCUUUGGAGACCCAUCUUUGAAACCACCAUAUAGGAAGCUGGCUGCCCUGAUGCCACCAUGCUGUAGAGACCAUGCAGUGACCAUAGAAAGAGAGCGAGGUGCCUGGGGAGCCCCAGCUGUCUGGCCUCUAGCUGCCCUUUGAGGUGUCCCAGCUGAUGCCAUGUGAGCAGAGAGGAGCAGAGCAACUGAACUACAGAUUCAGGAGCUAAAUAAAUGGUGCCUGUUGUUUUGUGCUGCAAGGUUUCGGGUGGGUUGAUAUGCAACAAGAGGUAACCGGAACACCAGGUAACUUUCUUGCCCAGUGCUCCCUCCAGGCCCUCUCUACUCCACCCCUGCCAGCCGCACAGGUACACUCAGUUCCCUGCCACAGGAGCAAAGUCCCCUGUCUGUGCCACAGGAAUCUGCUCCACUCUUCCAGACCUGGCUUCUUCCCUGCCUCCUCCAGGGAGCCCUCCUGUCUGCAGCGUUGGGCAGUCUUUAAAAUCAAGCUGAUGGUGGAGGAUGAUGAUAAUGGAGGAGGCUAUGCAUGUGGGGGGACAGGGGGCAGAUGGGAAAUCUCUGUAUCUUCUGCUCAAUUUUGCUGUGAACCUAAACUGCUCUAAAAUAUAAAAUCUAUCAA
rnacentral:lncRNA from 1 species